GGCCCGGUGGUGUAAUGGUAUCACGCCUGCCUGAUUUGAGCACUUUCAUCACGAGUCAGCGGGAGUUCCCGGUUCGAGUCUGGGUCAGGUCA